UACGAAGGGGCUAGCGUUGCUCGGAAUCACUGGGCGUAAAGGGUGCGUAGGCGGGUCUUUAAGUCAGGGGUGAAAUCCUGGAGCUCAACUCCAGACUGCCUUUGAUACUGAAGAUCUUGAGUCCGGGAGAGGUGAGUGGAACUGCGAGUGUAGGAGGUGAAAUUCGUAGAUAUUCGCAAGGAACACCAGUGGCGAAGGCGGCUCACUGGCCCGGUACUGACGCUGAGGCACGAAAGCGUGGG
rnacentral:rRNA from 1 species